rnacentral:rRNA from 1 species
GAGGAAGUAAAAGUCGUAACAAGGUUUCCGUAGGUGAACCUGCGGAAGGAUCAUUACCGAAUUGUCAACACGAGUUGUUGCUGGUCCUCAAACGGGGGCAUGUGCACGCUCUGUUCACACAUCCACUCACACCUGUGCACCCUCUGUAGUUCUAUGGUCUGGGGGGGCUCUGCCCUCUCGCCGUGGUUCUAUGUCUUUACACACGCACUGUAAUAAAGUUUCAUGGAAUGCAUGACGCGUUUAACGCAAUACAAUACAACUUUCAGCAACGGAUCUCUUGGCUCUCGCAUCGAUGAAGAACGCAGCGAAAUGCGAUAAGUAAUGUGAAUUGCAGAAUUCAGUGAAUCAUCGAAUCUUUGAACGCACCUUGCGCCCUUUGGUAUUCCAGAGGGCAUGCCUGUUUGAGUAUCAUGAACACCUCAACUCUCACGGUCCGCCGUGAUGAGCUUGGACUUUGGGGGUCUUGCUGGCCUGCGGGUCGGCUCCUCUCAAAUGAAUCAGCUUGCCAGUGUUUGGUGGCAUCACGGGUGUGAUAACUAUCUACGCUUGUGGUUUUCCACCAGGUAACCUUCAGCAAUGGAGGUUCGCUGGGGCUCACAAAUGUCUCUCCUCGGUGAGGACAACUUCUUGAAUGUUUGAUCUCAAAUCAGGUAGGGCUACCCGCUGAACUUAAGCAUAUC